rnacentral:rRNA from 1 species
GAUGAACGCUGGCGGCGUGCCUAAUACAUGCAAGUCGAGCGAACAGACGAGGAGCUUGCUCCUCUGACGUUAGCGGCGGACGGGUGAGUAACACGUGGAUAACCUACCUAUAAGACUGGGAUAACUUCGGGAAACCGGAGCUAAUACCGGAUAAUAUAUUGAACCGCAUGGUUCAAUAGUGAAAGACGGUUUUGCUGUCACUUAUAGAUGGAUCCGCGCCGCAUUAGCUAGUUGGUAAGGUAACGGCUUACCAAGGCAACGAGGCGUAGCCGACCUGAGAGGGUGAUCGGCCACACUGGAACUGAGACACGGUCCAGACUCCUACGGGAGGCAGCAGUAGGGAAUCUUCCGCAAUGGGCGAAAGCCUGACGGAGCAACGCCGCGUGAGUGAUGAAGGUCUUCGGAUCGUAAAACUCUGUUAUUAGGGAAGAACAAAUGUGUAAGUAACUAUGCACGUCUUGACGGUACCUAAUCAGAAAGCCACGGCUAACUACGUG